rnacentral:pre_miRNA from 1 species
UGGACAGAUUAUUGUAUUCGAAUGUAUUCACGGUGUGAAACAGGAGAUUACAUUGUUUUUAAACGGAAAGUGAAUCAAUUAACAUAAUAGACUCCU